AUUGAACGCUGGCGGCAGGCCUAACACAUGCAAGUCGAACGGUAACAGGAAGCAGCUUGCUGCUUCGCUGACGAGUGGCGGACGGGUGAGUAAUGUCUGGGAAACUGCCUGAUGGAGGGGGAUAACUACUGGAAACGGUAGCUAAUACCGCAUAACGUCGCAAGACCAAAGAGGGGGACCUUAGGGCCUCUUGCCAUCGGAUGUGCCCAGAUGGGAUUAGCUAGUAGGUGGGGUAACGGCUCACCUAGGCGACGAUCCCUAGCUGGUCUGAGAGGAUGACCAGCCACACUGGAACUGAGACACGGUCCAGGCUCCUACGGGAGGCAGCAGUGGGGAAUAUUGCACAAUGGGCGCAAGCCUGAUGCAGCCAUGCCGCGUGUAUGAAGAAGGCCUUCGGGUUGUAAAGUACUUUCAGCGGGGAGGAAGGGAGUAAAGUUAAUACCUUUGCUCAUUGACGUUACCCGCAGAAGAAGCGCCGGCUAACUCCGUG
rnacentral:rRNA from 1 species